GCGACCCCAGGAUGGGCGA
rnacentral:rRNA from 3 species